ACGAAGGGUGCAAGCGUUACUCGGAAUUACUGGGCGUAAAGCGUGCGUAGGCGGUUUGUUAAGUCCGUUGUGAAAGCCCUGGGCUCAACCUGGGAAUUGCAGUGGAUACUGGCGAGCUAGAGUGCGGUAGAGGAUGGUGGAAUUCCCGGUGUAGCGGUGAAAUGCGUAGAGAUCGGGAGGAACACCCGUGGCGAAGGCGGCCAUCUGGACCAGCACUGACGCUGAGGCACGAAAGCGUGGGGAGCAAACAGGA
rnacentral:rRNA from 1 species